rnacentral:rRNA from 1 species
UAAGGAAUAUUGGUCAAUGGACGGAAGUCUGAACCAGCCAUGCCGCGUGGAGGAUGAAGGCCCUCUGGGUUGUAAACUUCUUUUAUUUGGGACGAAACGCUCUUUAUCUAGAGAGCUUGACGGUACCAGAUGAAUAAGCACCGGCUAACUCCGUGCCAGCAGCCGCGGUAAUACGGAGGGUGCAAGCGUUAUCCGGAUUCACUGGGUUUGAAGGGUGCGUAGGCGUAUUUGUAAGUCCGUGGUGAGAUCUCUAAGCUUAACUUGGAAAUUGUCGUGGAUACUAUUAGUCGUGAAUAUUGUAGUGGUAAGCGGAAUAUGUCAAGUAGCGGUGAAAUGCAUAGAUAUGACAUAGAAAACCAAUUGCGAAGGCAGCUGGCUACAAAACUAUUGACGCUGAGGCACGAAAGAGUGGGGAUCAAACA